AAUAGUUUUUAAAAUUUAUUUAUUAUGAAAAUUUUGUAAUCAACUAUAAAAAUAUAAUUUAAAAAAUUCAUUUAUUCAUAAUUCAACUCCAUGAAUAUUACAAUACAUUGAUUUUGUUAUCUAUAUCAUAAUUAUUUUUCUCACAGGAUCACUGAUUGCAUUCCCUCUACCAAAAAAUUUCAGUUCCCCCUUUACUUUUUCAUCCAAAUUUUCGUUCCCCCCUUUUCAACCUAAACUUUGUAAGAUCUGUCUCUUUCUCUUCCUCUCGCUACUGUUAAUUUGGUGUAUACAUAUCCUUCCCUCUCUUCCCUUCCCUGUCUUCCCUUGUCUCUCCUUCUCCUCCCUUUCCCUCUCCUGUCCUCUCUAUCUGAUUAUUAACCGAGCUUACUCAGAUCUGUUGCCAUCGACGGUGACCCACCAGCCGUUUGAUGCCGAUGUUGACCAUUCUUUCAAGUUUAACAACAACCCACCUGAUGAUGAGGUUGAACGAAAAUCUCAUGGCGAUCUUACUAUCUCACCAACACUAUAUAUAGAUGAUGUUUAGUACAGAGGUUUGUUGACCAGAGAGUUUAAUUCAUUGUCACAUGGUGAGAUAGGAGAAAAUUCAUUGACUUAUAUUCCCUUUCAGGUCUUCCAUUAUACCACUGUUCUCUAAUUUCCUUUGUAGCUGGUAUAUGUCCCGAAUUGGUUUUUUUAAAGGCCCAUAUGUGUUUUUGGAAUCAUAUCUAAGGAGUUACCAACUGCAACUCUGUGAUACUUGUAGCCAAAUCUCUGUUGUCAAUAGCUUCUUAAAUUCACAUAUAUACACUUACUCUCUUAGGGAAUGAAUUGUGACCACAGUCUGGGAUUAAGUUAUAGAUUUUGUUCCUUUGUACCUUACUUGUUAGUUUAUUAUCCUUAAAAAAUGUGAAAGCCUCUGCCUUGCAUGUUUCUUCUAAGAACGGAACUCGUUUUAAGACUAACAGUGUCUGUCUCCAUUAUUGUACUACAACAGAAGCUAGCAGUAAAGAUGGAGGCGAGGUAACUUUUAAGCUAUAUAUCAUAUAUGGUCAUUACCUAUUUUAUAAGUAGAAAGCUUUUUGGGAAGGGGACUGAAAAUGCCAACUUUAUCAUCGAUUCACAUAUUAUCUGUCAGUAUCCUAUUAAUGAUUAAUAGGCCAGAAAGGAUAAGGAUAACCUAUUUCUUGUAUGUUUUUAUGUUGCUUCCAAGACUUCAUGUGAUUUCUACUGACAUAAUUCUAUAUAUGAAGUAGGUAAUUUUAUCAUAGUUUAGAUUCUUUAUGUUUUUGGUUCAUGCUCGUUCUCUUUUGAACAUUUUUGCUUGUGGCAAAUAUGUUAACUGCAUAUUUAAGCAACAUGAUUUAGUGCACAGAGUGCUGCUGUCAUGCUGCCAUCCGAACGAAGAAUCCUGCCAGCAAUCUGCCAAGUCACAGAUGAACUCUAGAUUCCAUUACUGCACCACCAAGGCAGCCAAUGAUGGAGCUCACAACUAUGGAAACACAUAUUGACUCAUAUACAAGGCCAAGUUGAUUAAUUUUCGGUGACGUUGCAAUUAAAGAUAGAUUAAUUUAUGUUUUGUUUAUUGUAUAUCUUUAGGUUAUUUAGAUAUUUGUGAUUUGUCAUCCUCAUUGGACAUAUUGGUGGAUAUUUGAUGAUAUAUUUGGUUGGUUGUAAUGGUGUUUAUUAGUUCGGAAUGAUAACUUUUGUUUACAAA